rnacentral:rRNA from 1 species
CCUACGGGGGGCAGCAGUCGAGAAUUAUUCACAAUGGGGGAAACCCUGAUGGUGCGACGCCGUGUGGGGGAAUGAAGGUCUUCGGAUUGUAAACCCCUGUCAUGUGGGAGCAAAUUAAAAAGAUCGUACCACAAGAGGAAGAGACGGCUAACUCUGUGCCAGCAGCCGCGGUAAUACAGAGGUCUCAAGCGUUGUUCGGAAUCACUGGGCGUAAAGCGUGCGUAGGCUGUUUCGUAAGUCGUGUGUGAAAGGCGCGGGCUCAACCCGCGGACGGCACAUGAUACUGCGAGACUAGAGUAAGGGAGGGGGAACCGGAAUUCUCGGUGUAGCAGUGAAAUGCGUAGAUAUCGAGAGGAACACUCGUGGCGAAGGCGGGUUCCUGGACAUUAACUGACGCUGAGGCACGAAGGCCAGGGGAGCGAAAGGGAUUAGAUACCCCAGUAGUC